rnacentral:rRNA from 1 species
UACGUAGGGGGCAAGCGUUGUCCGGAAUCAUUGGGCGUAAAGAGCGUGUAGGCGGCUCGGUAAGUCCGCUGUGAAAGUCCAGGGCUCAACCCUGGAAUGCCGGUGGAAACUGUCGAGCUAGAGUCCGGAAGAGGCGAGUGGAAUUCCUGGUGUAGCGGUGAAAUGCGCAGAUAUCAGGAGGAACACCGAUGGCGAAGGCAGCUCGCUGGGACGGUACUGACGCUGAGACGCGAAAGCGUGGGGAGCAAGCAGG